AACGAACGCUGGCGGCAUGCCUAACACAUGCAAGUCGAACGAGACCUUCGGGUCUAGUGGCGCACGGGUGCGUAACGCGUGGGAACCUGCCCUUAGGUUCGGAAUAACUCCCCGAAAGGGGUGCUAAUACCGGAUAAUGUCUUCGGACCAAAGAUUUAUCGCCUUUGGAUGGGCCCGCGUUGGAUUAGCUAGUUGGUAGGGUAAAAGCCUACCAAGGCGACGAUCCAUAGCUGGUCUGAGAGGAUGAUCAGCCACACUGGGACUGAGACACGGCCCAGACUCCUACGGGAGGCAGCAGUGGGGAAUAUUGGACAAUGGGCGAAAGCCUGAUCCAGCAAUGCCGCGGGAGUGAUGAAGGCCUUAGGGUUGUAAAGCUCUUUUACCAGGGAUGAUAAUGACAGUACCGGGAGAAUAAGCUCCGGCUAACUCCGUG
rnacentral:rRNA from 1 species